AUGGUGCUUAAAUGAUCAUGCUGGUGUAAAACUAUGAUGUUACAUCUGUCAAAGUGUGUCAGCUUAGCUGUUUCAAAACAUCUCCUACUCUCAGAAAAAUAGGUAAAAAUUUGUACCGUUGUCACGGGCGCUGUACCCCCAAGGCUCUACCUACUGUACCAUUAGCUGCAAUUAAUUGUACCUUUUGAGGUACAGAAAUGGACUCUCUUGCUCAAGGACACUUUGAUGGGGUCAGGAGGAACCAGGGCUCGAACCUGCAACCCUCCAGUUGCCAAACGAAAGCACUACCUCCUGUGCCACCAUCGUCCCCAUGAGAGUGUAAUGUCACCAUAGUAUUAGCAAUAACCAUGCAAUACACCCAUUCACUGUUGACUGGACAUAGCACACCUCGUUUGGCAAAUCAAUAACUCACUGAGGUAUUUAACUAAUUAAUUAAUUGAGCUGGUUGUGAUAUUUAAUAAAUACACGGAAUUGCUGGGGUGCCCCCGAGGAGAGGUUAGGGAACUGAAGCCGUGUUCUUCUAUCCAUCUAGCUAAGUAUCAGUCCCUUUUUCACGAACAAAAGAAAUUAUUGUUAGUUACUGUUACAGAUCAUUUGCAUAUCUUAUAAUGUUGUGUUUAUUUCUGAGCAAAUAUAUACUUACUACCUAGAUAAAACGUUUGACACAUUUCCUUUGACUGUACUCACAUUGUGCUGCAUUUUUUUUUUAUUUACUCGAAAAAGCACGGGAAAAAAUGGGUUAAAGUAUAUCGUGUGCCAAAGUUUGAUAACUUUUGCCCGAGUUUAGCAGCAUGAGCUUAUUUUAAGACAAGCCUUUAGCGUUUUUUGUAAAACACUGUGAAUAAAACUGCCACUAUUGCCCUGACACUUUCUUUCCCUACGCAUUGUAUUAUGUAUAUUAGUAUAAUGUAUAUCAACAAGAGUCGAAGACAACGCAGAACGCGACACCAUCCCGCAGUCUUUAAGAAGUAGCACCAGACUUUGGAAUAAAAUAUGCAAACAUCGGAUCAGAUAAAAGCCCUCUUUGGCUCUGGAUAUCGCGUGGACGCGUUACUUGCUAAUGCCACGGGUGUGUAUUGUUUAAACUGCACGGAUCUGGCAUGGACUAGUUAAACGUCAGGGGCUGCAUGCGACUGAACCACGCAACAACGUGAUCAACAAGACAGGGCUGAUAACCUUUUAUACAAAAACUCCUACAACCUUAAGUAUGCCUUGAUGGACUGCCUGACUGCUGCUUCAGGAAUAUACUGUUACGUCAAGCUGAGAAGCUCCUUAUAGGCGACAGAUUUUUAGCCGGAUAGAAUGUAUUAACCUUGGGUAAUCAAUAGUGAAAAAUCGUUUGAAGGAAAAUCCCAUUCAGACUUUGAUAAAGUAUGAUUUAAAUGGCCACUGCUUUAGCAUCGUUUGUCAUGUUUAUAAUCAGAUAAAGACUUGGGAUGCAAGCCUGUCAUCCCACACGUUGAGAAUGAACACUGAAGGAACCUUAUAAAACUGUAUUCUCGCAUUUAGUUGUGUGUAAUUACUCCCAUCCUUGUUUACUAACACAACUUUCAUUUACUGUUUUCUGUACUACAACAAGCUACCAAGGUUUAAAAUAUUUAAACAUUAAUUGAAAAUAUGAUUAACAUCUUGUAUAUUGAUAUGACAAAAAAUGCAAAAGGUUAUUUUAUGGGUAUUUCCAUAUGAAAUGCAUUACUCAAAAUUACAAUAUGACUGUCUCAAUUCUAGAAUGUUUUUUUUUGUAUGUUGUUCACAUUAAGAAACAUGUUAUUUUAAUAUAUAUCAAUAAAAAAAACAUGUCAUGAUAUUUUAAAAAAACACACACAUACAUAACUAUUUCUGGAGACAUUCCAUUUUACUUGAAAUGAAAAAUCCUUAACCCCCAAACCACAUAAUGUCAGAAAAUAAUAAAAUCUAAUGUUAAACAAGAAGUUUUUGCACUUCAGAGUGAUUUUUCACAAGUUGUAAAAAUGUCACGUCUCUCAUGGGCAGAACUGUGCUUUUCAGUUAAUUUAAUUUUGCGUGGAGACACACAAGAAGACAGUUUUAUCUUCACAUAAUUCCAUACUUACAUGUGCAAGUGCCCGGACACAAACACACACACACACACACACACACACACACACACACACACACACA